UUACGGCCAUGUCACAUUGAACCGCUGGUUUCCGUAUGAUCACCGAAGUUAAGCAACGUCGAGCCUGGUCAGUACCUCGAUGAGUGAUCGAUUAGGAAUAUCAGGAGAUGUAC